rnacentral:rRNA from 1 species
UAUACGGCGAAACUGCGAAUGGCUCAUUAUAUAAGUUAUCGUUUAUUUGAUAGUAUCUUGCUACUUGGAUAACCGUGGUAAUUCUAGAGCUAAUACAUGCUAAAAAUCCCGACUUCGGAAGGGAUGUAUUUAUUAGAUUAAAAACCAAUGCCCUCUGGGCUCUCUUGGUGAAUCAUGAUAACUUCUCGAAUCGCAGGGCCUUGCGCCGGCGAUGGUUCAUUCAAAUUUCUUCCCUAUCAACUUUCGAUGUUUGGGUAGUGGCCAAACAUGGUUGCAACGGGUAACGGAGGGUUAGGGCUCGACCCCGGAGAAGGAGCCUGAGAAACGGCUACUACAUCCAAGGAAGGCAGCAGGCGCGCAAAUUACCCAAUCCCGAUCCGGGGAGGUAGUGACAAUAAAUACUGAUACAGGGCUCUUUUGGGUCUUGUAAUUGGAAUGAGUACAAUUUAAAUCCCUUAACGAGGAACAAUUGGAGGGCAAGUCUGGUGCCAGCAGCCGCGGUAAUUCCAGCUCCAAUAGCGUAUAUUAAAGUUGUUGUGGUUAAAAAGCUCGUAGUUGAACCUUGGGCCUGGCUGGCCGGUCCGCCUCACCGCGUGCACUGGUCCGGCCGGGCCUUUCCCUCUGUGGAACCCCAUGCCCUUCACUGGGUGUGGCGGGGAAACAGGACUUUUACUUUGAAAAAAUUAGAGUGCUCCAGGCAGGCCUAUGCUCGAAUACAUUAGCAUGGAAUAAUGAAAUAGGACGUGCGGUUCUAUUUUGUUGGUUUCUAGGACCGCCGUAAUGAUUAAUAGGGACAGUCGGGGGCAUCAGUAUUCAAUUGUCAGAGGUGAAAUUCUUGGAUUUAUUGAAGACUAACUACUGCGAAAGCAUUUGCCAAGGAUGUUUUCAUUAAUCAGGAACGAAAGUUAGGGGAUCGAAGACGAUCAGAUACCGUCGUAGUCUUAACCAUAAACUAUGCCGACUAGGGAUCGGACGAUGUUAUUUUUUGACUCGUUCGGCACCUUACGAGAAAUCAAAGUGCUUGGGCUCCAGGGGGAGUAUGGUCGCAAGGCUGAAACUUAAAGAAAUUGACGGAAGGGCACCACCAGGGGUAAACCUGACCUGUGAAGCCGCAGUCAACUCUGCUCCAGAAAGCCGCCCGAAAGGGUCGGUGGUGUUCCUAGGGGAGAGCUCUCCCCUAAACUAAUGGCUAGUCCUGCCGCCCGCGGCAGGGCGACACCCUCAAACUGACGGGGAACUCCUAAAGCCCUCGCUCCGGACAGGCGUCGGGAAACCGACGGCCUGCUCACCAGGCUAACGACCUCGGGUAUCGGAAGCAACGCGAGAGGAUGCUACAAUGGACAAUCCGCAGCCAAGCCCCUACGGUGCGGCCUCUACGGGGGUCGCAUACGGGGAAGGUUCAGAGACUUGACGGGGGUGGGUGGCGCGGGCUCUUGGGGUGCAAGCCGCGUGCUUGCUUGCAGGCCCAGGCGCCCGCCGCUGCCUAAGAUAAAGUCCGGGCGUGCGCGAAAGCGUGCGCGGCAACCACGCAACCCGCCGUUUCCAGCGGGUGCGAGGCCCCAGAAGUAAAAACAACCGGGAGCCUGCGGCUUAAUUUGACUCAACACGGGGAAACUCACCAGGUCCAGACACAAUGAGGAUUGACAGAUUGAGAGCUCUUUCUUGAUUUUGUGGGUGGUGGUGCAUGGCCGUUCUUAGUUGGUGGAGUGAUUUGUCUGCUUAAUUGCGAUAACGAACGAGACCUUAACCUGCUAAAUAGCCCGUAUUGCUUUGGCAGUACGCCG